rnacentral:rRNA from 1 species
ACUCAAAUGAAUUGACGGGGGCCCGCACAAGCAGCGGAGCGUGUGGUUUAAUUCGAUGCGACGCGCAGAACCUUACCUGGGUUUGACAUGACACUGCACCGGGGGUAAUGCCCCGUCCCGGCAACGGGCGGUGUCACAGGUGCUGCAUGGCUGUCGUCAGCUCGUGCCGUGAGGUGUUGGGUUAAGUCCCCUAACGAGCGCAACCCCCGGGGUCCGUUGCAUACAACGUUUUCGGGCCCGACUGCCGUGCGCAACACGGAGGAAGGUGGGGAUGAUGUCAAGUCAGCACGGCCCUUACGUCCAGGGCGACACACACGCUACAAUGGCCGGUACAACGGGUUGCCAAGCCGCGAGGCGGAGCCAAUCCCUGCCAAAGCCGGUCUCAGUUCGGAUUGCAGGCUGCAACUCGCCUGCAUGAAGCUGGAGUUGCUAGUAACCGCGGGUCAGCACACCGCGGUGAAUACGUUCCCGGGCCUUGCACACACCGCCCGU